GACACCUCCGCCAGCCAUUGUAACCGAUGACACACCAACUAAGGAUGUUACAAACCAAGCCCAACACAUAAGAUCUCUCCAACCCAGGACAUUAUUUCCUCCUGCUGCCUGUGCAGAGAAAACUGAUAUGGUGUCUGAACAAAUAGAAACUGCGAACGCAUUGUCUGCACAUACAAUACCAGAAUUGCAAGCACCAGGCACACAGGAUGGCAGUGGUUCUUUCCCUCCCAGUGCUAAAAAUAAAAAGAAUUCCGUUGAACAGAAGGACAGUCAUAUAGAAAAGGGUAGUCAUAUAGAUGAUUCAACCAAAGAUGAGCACGUUGCUACGACGGCCAUAGCACCACAGCAUGGAAUUAAAAGAUCCACUCCUGCUGAUUCUGGAUGCAAAACAAGGGAUGAUAUCUGCAAAGCCACUCCAUCUAAGAGUCACAAAUAGGUUUCAACAACAUUGUGCCUCUUGUGCUGCGACAAAGAUGCUGCAAAAAAAAAAGAAUCCUUUAUGAUGGAAGAAUAAAAUCUUUUGGAAUCUAUGUUUUAGAUAAUUACCUCUAUCGUAUUAUCUCUAGUCUUCUGUGUAUGCUCAACUAUGUGUGUUUCUAAUUAUCUAUCUGUAGAUUAUGUCUUGUAACCUCUUUCACUACUCACGUACCUUUAAUCAGGAUACACUAAAUAUCAGAAUGUUGCUAUACUGCUGUGGUUAUGCCCACCAUAUUCUGUGCGUGAUUUACCUUC